rnacentral:rRNA from 1 species
CGGUGAUUCAUUUUGCCGAGUAAAGUCGAAAGGCGCUUCAGGAUGGGCCUGCGGCGGAUUAGGUAGUUGGUGGGGUAACGGCCUACCAAGCCGAUGAUCCGUAGGGGGCGUGAGAGCGUGGCCCCCCACACUGGCACUGAGAUACGGGCCAGACUCCUACGGGAGGCAGCAGUGAGGAAUAUUGCGCAAUGGGCGAAAGCCUGACGCAGCAACGCCGCGUGAGGGACGAAGGCCUUCGGGUCGUAAACCUCUUUUCUGGGGAAAGAGCAAGGACGGUACCUCAGGAAUAAGUCUCGGCUAACUACGUGCCAGCAGCCGCGGUAAAACGUAGGAGGCGAGCGUUAUCCGGAUUUACUGGGCGUAAAGCGCACGCAGGCGGCUUCGUUAGUCGGGUGUGAAAGCUCCUAACUUAACUGGGAGAGGCCACUCGAUACUGCGAGGCUUGAGGUUGGGAGAAGGGUGUGGAAUU